rnacentral:rRNA from 1 species
AGAGUUUGAUCCUGGCUCAGGAUGAACGCUAGCGACAGGCUUAACACAUGCAAGUCGAGGGGCAGCACGGUGUAGCAAUACACUGGUGGCGACCGGCGCACGGGUGAGUCACACGUGUGCAACCAACCCCGUACCGGGAGAUAACCCGCGGAAACGUGGACUAACAUCCCAUAACACUCUUCCAUCGCAUGAUGGGGGAUUUAAAACCCCGGUGGUACGGGACGGGCACGCGCGACAUUAGGUAGUUGGCGGGGUAACGGCCCACCAAGCCGACGAUGUCCAGGGGUUCUGAGAGGAAGGUCCCCCACACUGGAACUGAGACACGGUCCAGACUCCUACGGGAGGCAGCAGUGAGGAAUAUUGGUCAAUGGGCGAGAGCCUGAACCAGCCAAGUCGCGUGAGGGAAGAAUGGUCUAUGGCCUGUAAACCUCUUUUACGAGAGAAGAAUAAGAAGCACGCGUGCUUUGAUGCCAGUAUCUCGUGAAUAAGCAUCGGCUAACUCCGUGCCAGCAGCCGCGGUAAUACGGGGGAUGCGAGCGUUAUCCGGAUUUAUUGGGUUUAAAGGGCGCGUAGGCGGGACGCCAAGUCAGCGGUAAAAGACUGCAGCUAAACUGUAGCACGCCGUUGAAACUGGCGCCCUAGAGAGAAGUCGAGGGAGGCGGAACAAGUGAAGUAGCGGUGAAAUGCAUAGAUAUCACUUGGAACCCCGAUAGCGAAGGCAGCUUCCCAGCCUUUAUCUGACGCUGAUGCGCGAGAGCGUGGGUAGCGAACAGGAUUAGAUACCCUGGUAGUCCACGCCGUAAACGAUGCUCACUGGAUCUGGGCGAUACACCGUCCGGGUUCAAGCGAAAGUAUUAAGUGAGCCACCUGGGGAGUACGUCGGCAACGAUGAAACUCAAAGGAAUUGACGGGGGCCCGCACAAGCGGAGGAACAUGUGGUUUAAUUCGAUGAUACGCGAGGA